UGCCUCAAUCUUGUUUUGUACACACACAUA
rnacentral:piRNA from 1 species